ensembl:miRNA MIR155 microRNA 155
UUAAUGCUAAUCGUGAUAGGGGUUUUUACCUCCGACUGACUCCUACAUGUUAGCAUUAACA